CUUGCAAACUCGUAAAGGGUAAUAUAGUCAUUAACUUACCAAAAGAUGUGGCUAUCCGGUCUUCGAGGAAAUUCACGUGAAAUAAGAAAGAAAGUUUUUGGUAGUGGCAUGGACGUAAUUAACUACCAAUCCCAUGGUUAUUUCAAAACCUCCACAGCCAUCCAGCCACUCCUAUAUUAACCCUAUAUUUCUCUCAGAACUCACACCAAAAAUAUUGCAAGUUUAGGGUCAAAAAAUCUCUAUCAUCACAAACAAAUAUAGGGUUUGUUGAUUUGGUGGCUGUUUUCGCCGUCUUUGCUUUCAAAAUUCAAUCUUGACCUGUUUCUUUUAUGCUUUUUGAAUAGGUUUUUUUUUUUAACUUGAGAAAGAGGGGGUUUUCAAAGGAGACUAGCUUUUCAAGAAUUGAUAUAUUUUA